CUCCAGCAUGGGCAACAGAGCGAGACUCCAUCUUAAAAAAUAAUACACCUAACAUAUCAAACAUCCUAGCUCAUCCUAGCCUACCAUAAAUGUGCUUAGAACACUUAAAUUAGUCUACAGUUGGGCAAAAUAAUCUAACACAAAGCCUAUUCUAAUAUCUCAUAUAAUUUAUUGAAUACUGUUCUGAAAGUGAAAAUCAGAAUGAUUGUAUGGGUACUUGAAGUAGAGUUUCUACUGAAUAAACAUUGCUUUUGUAUCAUCAAAAAGUCAAAAAAUUAUAAGUUAAAUCAUUAUCACUGGGGGCCAUCUGUAUAUACAUAUGAUGAUAUAUAUCCCAUCAUUAAGUGAUACAUGACUGUGUACUAUAUACUUAAGCAGUAUAUAUAUAGAGUACAUAUAGUUUUGUACUAUAUAUAGAGAGAGUAAUGGAUCACUUAAUGAUGGGGAAUAUGUUCUGAGAAAUUAGUCAUUAGGCAAUUUCAUUUUUGUAUGAGUAUCAUAGAGUAUAUUUACAUAAACCUAGAUGGCAUAGUCUAUACACAUAUAGGCUAUAUGGUAUAGCCUAUUGCUCCUAGGCUACAAACCUGUACGACAUAUUAAUAAAAAGGUACAGCAUUUUACUAUACCUUUUCUGUGUUUAAAUACACAAAUACUAUUGUAUUACAAUUACGUAUAGUACUGAAUACUAUAUUACAAUUAUGUACUGUAUUACAAUAGUAAUGGUACUAUACCAUAGUUAAUUGUAAUACAGUAUAUAAUUGUAAUAUAGAAUUCAAUACUAUAGGUAAUUAUAAUACAAUAGUAUUUGUGUAUCUAAACAUAGAAAAGGCAUAGUAAAAAUAUGAUACAAAAGGUUUUUAAAGUGGUCCACCUGUUUAGGGCACUUACCAUGAACAGAGCUUGCAGGACUGCAAGUUGCUCUGGAUGAGUCACUCCCUGAGUGAGUAGUGAGUGAAUGGUGUGAGUGAGUGAGUGAAUGUGAAGGCCUAGGACAUUAUUGUACGCUACUGUAAACUUUAUAAACAAUGUACGUUUAGGUAACUCUAAAUUUAUUUAAAAAGUUUUCUUUCUUUAAUAACCUUAGCUUACUGUAACUUUUUUAGUUUAUAAACUUUUAAAUGGUUUUAAACCUUUUGACUAUUUCAUAAUAACACUUAAACACAAAUACAUUGUGCAGCUGUACAAAAAUAUUUUCUUUAUAUCCUUUGUAUCUUGACAUCCCUAUUCCACGUACCUUUUCUAUUUUUAAUUUUCUUUUAUUUUAUAACUAUUUUGCUAAAAAUGUAGACACAAACACACAUCUUGGCCUGGGCCUAUGCUGGUGGAAAAUACCACUGUUUACCACUUCUACCUGUUGUCCUGGGACAUAUUGCCCCUGAAGGAUGGGCUUAGGGUGUGACUUUGCUCAUUUCCUUUUUGUCACCUCACAAAGCCCUGCUUUGUUUGCUUUAUCUAAGACCUCUGUGCUACCUAGCUAAGUUUGGCUUCCUGUCCAAUGCUGUUCACUCUGUCUCCAUGGAUCCAGCUCAAUUGGAAGAAAAAGCAGAUGAAGGCCUGAAUGUCUACUGAGUUUUCAGUGACUUCCUCAAACUUCUCACUUACCUUUCAGUGCUGGCAUCGUCCAGGUCAUAGGAGAAAGUAGUAGGGGUGACUCAAAUAUUUAGUAUUUGCACAGUAAAAAUGUCCAGCUAUGCCAGGUGGAGUGGCUCACACCUAUAAUCCCAGUGCUUUGGGAGGCUGAGCAGGAGGAUUGCAUGAGGCCAAGAGUAUGAGACCAGCCUGGGCAACAUAGUGAGACUCUGUGUCUACAAAAAGUUUUUUUUUUAAAAAAUUAGCUGGGCAUGGUGGCAUGUGUCUGUAGUUCUAGCUACUUGGGAGGCUGAGGUGGGAGGAUCAUUUGAGCCCAGGAGUUUGUGGCUGCAGUGAACUAUGGUUGCACCAUUGCACCCCAGCCUGGGCGAUAGAGGGAGACCCUGCUUGUAAAAAGCAAGCCAAGCUCUUUACUGGCUGAAAUUGCAUGGAGUAAGGGAGGGAGUCGAAAUUCUGGGGCAGAGAACUACCUUUUGUUGUUCAUAUGUGUUUGUCUUUAAUAAUGUUCCCCAGUAUCUUAUGUUAAUGAGGAACAUUAAUGCUUUGACAUCGUUUCACGGUGCCACUUCAGGGAAUCACUCUUGCUUAUUCUAAGGAGGAUUUGGAGCUGUACCGAGCUAAAAGUCUGAAUUUGGAGAUGAUAGUGGUGACCUUAUAGGCAAUAUCAGGUACAGAUGGAGCUUUAAUAGUGAAAAAGUAGACUGCUCAGAGUAAGUAUGGAGGAUCAUACUUCUGCAUACACUGAAUGUAGUUGUUUCUUUUCCACACAAGCACUCUCUACAAGAGAGGUUUCUUUAGAAAGAAUUGGACCUGAUGGAGGGUCAUUCUAUCAGAAUGAAUUUUUUAGGUUUCUUCCUUACAGUUAACAUCUCUGAAAGGUACGGAUACAAGUUAUCUACAGGGUAACACCUGUAGAUAUGAUGCAACAGGCUUAUGCCAUUGGAGAGUGAAUAGUCAACCUUCUGAAAACAGUGUACACCACCGGAAGGGCAAGAAAAAAAACUACAAUAUAGAACAUCUUUCUGACCUUGAGGUCAGGAAGUCCUCCUCGACAAGACACAAAAAAGAAAAAUCACAAAGGAAAAGAAUGACAACUUGACUCCAUCAAAAUUAAAAACAGGUGCACAUCAGAAUAUACCAUAUAUACAAUUAAAAGAUAAGUAAUGAUAUAGAAGAAACUAAUUGCCUCACACAAAGCAAACUUGGACUGCUUUCUAGAAAGUAAAAAGGAAUCCUAAAAUAAUCAAUAUGAAAAAGACAAACAACCAAAUAAAACAAAAUAAAAAAGCAGACAAAGAUUCAAACAGGCAAAUUCACAAAAGAGGGAAUUCAAAUGGUCAAUAAACACAUUAAAAUAUAUUUAAACUGCAGUAACCAGAGAAUAGCAAAUGUAAAACAAGGUGUCAUAUUUCUACUCAUUUGAUUUGCAAUUAUUAAAAGUGUUGAAAUUAUCAAUUGCUGGGGCAUCAAAUAUCCUCAUAGAUGGCCAAUGAUGGAAGUAUGUACACAUUAUUAAGUUUUGUUUCUAGCAGUGUUUGGUAAGAAUUGAAACUUUUGCUCUAUUUGAAAUUUAUCUUGGUAUAUGGUGUGAAGUAUGGAUUUGAUGUAAACAUUUUUUGGAUGUUUUCCUAGCUGCUUUAACACCAUUUAUUAAACAGUACCUCUUUUUCAUGCUGACUUGAGAUGACAUCUUUGCCAUAUACUAAAUUCACAUAUGUCUUUGGGUCAGCUUCUGAAUUUACUAAUCUGUUCAUCUAUCUGUCUACUCGUGUCACUACCUCCUGUUUUAAUUAUUACAGCUUCACAAUAUGAUUUAAUGAAUGUAUUAUUAUUUGAUUUUUUUUUCUCCUUAGUCACAUUUUUCUUCUGUGUUCUUUUUGUUUUUGAUAUUUUUUCUUUAUAUUGCCUUGUAUUGAUUUUGUACAGGCAUGCCUCAUUUUAUUGUGCUUUGCUUUACUGUGUUUUGCAGAUAUUGCAUUUUUUUCCAGAUUGAAGGUUUGUGGCAACCCUGCAUCAAGCAAGUCUAUAAGCAUCAUUUUUCCAACAGUAUGUGCUCACUUAUUGUCUGGGUGACAUUUUAGUAAUUUGCACAUUUCAAGCUUUUUCAUUAUUUGUAUAUCUGUUAUGGUGAUCUGUGAUCAGUAAUCUUUGAUAUUACUAUUAUAUUUCAAAUGUUUUGGGACACCAUGAACUGGACCCACCUUAACAGAACUUAAUCUAUAAAUGUUCUCUAUAGAACUUAAUCUAUAAAAGUUCUUUAUCAAACGAAUCUAUAAACGUGCAUGUUCUGAUAGUUCCACUAAUCAGCUGUUUCCCAUCUCUCUCUCUCUCCUCAGGCCUCCCUAUUCCCUGAGACACAACAAUAUUAAAUUAGGCCAAUUAAUAAUGCCACAAUGGCCUCUAAGAGUUUGAGUGAAAUGAAGAGUUGUCUAUCUAUCUAUCUAUCUAUCUAUCUAUCUAUCUAUCUAUCUAUCUAUAAUCCAUCUAUUUAUUUUUGAGACAGAUUCUUGCUCUGUCGCCCAGGCUGGAGUGCGGUGGCACUAUCUCGGCUCACUGCAACCUCCACCUCCUGGGUUCAAGCAAUUUUCCUGCCUCAGCUUCCCUAGUAGCUGAGAUUACAGGUGCCCAACACUAUGCCCAGCUUUUUUUUUUUUUUGUAUUUUUAGUAGAGAUGGGGUUUCACCAUGUUGGUCCAGCUGAUCUCGAUCUCCUGACCUCAAGUGAUCCACUGGUCCUUGGCCUCCCAAAGUUCUGAGAUUACAGGAGUGAGCCACUGCGCCCGACCAUAUCUCUCAUUUUAAAUGAAAAGCUAUAAAUGACUAACAUUAGUGAGGAAGGCAUGUGGAAAGGUGAGACAGGUUUGAAAGCUAGGCCUCUUGCACCAAUUGGUUAGCCAAGUUGUGAAUGCAAAGGAAUAGUUCUUGGAGGAAAUUAAAGUGCUACUCCAGUGAACAUAUGAAUAAUAAGAAAGUGAUACAUGCUUAUUACUGAUAUGAAGAAAAGUUUUUGUGUCUGAAUAGAAGAUCAAAUCAGCCACAACAUUUCCUUAAACCAAAGCCUAAUCCAGAGAAAGUCUCCAACUCUCUUCAAUUCCAUGAAGGCUGAUAGAGGUGAGGAAGCUAGCAAAGAUUAAAACCUAGUAUAGGCUAAGGAAGAAGCUGUCUCCAUAACCUAGAAGUGCAAGGUGAAGCAGCAACUGCUGCUGUGGAAGCUGUAGCAAGCUGUCCAGAAGAGUUAGCUAAGAUCAUUGAUGAAGGUGGCUACACUAAACAGCAGAUUUUCAAUGUAAACAAAGCAGCCUUCUAUUGCAAGAAGAUGCCAUCUAGGACUUUCAAAGCUAGAGAGAAGUCAAUGACUGGCUUCAAAGGAUGGGCCGACUCUGUUGUUAGGAGCUAAUGCAACUGGUGACUUUAAGUUGAAGCCAAAGCUCAUUGACCAUUCUGCAAAUCCUAGGGCCUUAAGAAUUAUGCUGUUUCUACUCUUCCUGUGCUCUAUAAAUGAAAAAACAAACUCUAGAUGGGAGCCCAUCUGUUUACAGUAUGGUUUACUGAAUAUUUUAAGCCCACCAUUGAGACCUAUUUCUCAGAAUAAGAGUCUUUUCAAAAUAUUACUGCUCAUUGACAAUGCACUUGAUUACCCAAGAGGUCUGAUGGAGAUGUGCAGAAGAUUAAUGUUGCUUUCAUGGAUGCUAAUUCAGCAUCCAUUCUACAGCUCAUGGAUCAAGGAGUAAUUUUGACUUUCAGAUUUGCUAUUUAAGAAAUACUUUACAUAGUGCUCAGCUGCCCUAGUGAUUCCUUUGAUGAAUCUGGGCAAAGUCAAUUGAAAGUCUUUUCAAAAGAGUUCACCAUUCUAGAUGCCAUUAACAACAUUCACAAUUCAUGGCAGGAGGUCAAAAUAUCAACAUUAACAGAAGUUUAGAAGAAGACGGUUCCAACCCUAACAGAUGAUUUUGAGGGGUUCAAGACAUCAGUGCGAUGAAGUAACUGAAGAUGUGGUGGAGAUGUAAAGAAGACUAGAAUUAGAAGCAGAGCCUGAAUUUGGGACUAAAUUGGUGCAAUCUCAGGAUAAAACUUGAACAAACGAGGAGUGGUUUUUAUGGAUGUGUAAAGAAAGGUUUCUUGGUAUGGAAUCUACUUCUGGUGAAGAUGCUGUGAGCAUUGUUGAAACGACAACAAAGGACAUAGAAUAGUACAUAAACUUAGUUGAUAGAGCAGUGAGAUAGGGCUUGAGAGGAUUGACUCCAAUUUUGAAGGAAGUUCUACUGUGGGUAAAAUGCUAUCAAACAGCAUUGCAUACUAGAGAAAUAUUGCAUGAAAUGAACAAUCAAUUGAUGCAGCAAACUUCAUUGUUUUCUUAUUUUAAGAAAUUGCCAUGGAUGCUUCAACUUUAGGCAACAACCACUGUAGUCAGUCAGCAGCCAUCAAAGUAGAGAAGACCCUCCACCAGCACAAAGCUUACAACUUACUCAAGGCCAAGAUGAUUAUUAGCUUUUUUAGCAAUAAAUUAUUUUUAAAUUAUGGCAUGUACGUUGUUUUUUAUACAUAAUGCUACUGGACACUUAAUGGUCUACAGUAUAGUAUAAACAUAACUUUUACAUGCACUGGGAUGCCAAAAAAAUUCAUGUGACUUGCUUUAUUGUGAUGAUCUGGAACCAAACCUGCAAUAUCUCUGAGUUAUGCCUGUACUUGUUUCUUUUUUAUUAAUUUAGUUAUUAUUAAAUGUGUGUAUUUCACUAGACCAGCUAUUUUCUGUAGAGCUCAUUACAGUUAGGUAGAGAGAGUCAUCACCACACAGAAUAAUUCUCUGUGUAAAAUAUUUCUCCACAAGUUUCUGCCACAGAAGCAGAUAGCUUCCUGCAAAUAUGGCUUGUUUAUGUGAUUUUUUUUAGAGCCACUCAUAUUUUGCUACUCUAAAUCAAGCCAUUUCCUGCCUUGCUCAACACAGCUCCUACAUCCUUGUAAACAAGAAUUACAGUUUUUAGAUUUCAGAAUAUGUCUUCAAUUUUUAGAAAGCUGUGUUUUUGCUGGUGCUUUUUGAGACUCAAGACAACAGUGGACAGGUUCCACUUUCUGUGAUUUGACUCCUUUUUAACUCCUUUAUUAACUUCUUCCCAAUCUUAAUUGUUUUUAGCAACUCAUAGUUAUAUUUAGGGAUCUACACAUGAUAUGUAUUUUAGCUUCAUUGAAAAUGUUUUUAUUUAAUUCCAAUUUUUCAUUCUUCUUGGUUUUGUAUACUUUUGGAAGAGUAGGUUUGGGAGUAGGGAGAAUUCCUGACUGAUAGCAGUCACAUUCUCAUUAGAAGUUAAGGGCUUCUAAUGAAAUUUUUCAUGAUUUCUUUUAAUAUGAUGUUUUCGUGUGAUUCCUCCAGCUAAUGUAGAUGUGACUGCCAUUCUGACCAUGACAUGCUACUGUGCAUAGUAAGCCCCUUUGGGCUUUGCCCAUACCUGAAAAGUCUUUCUGAAAACCUCACCACUGACUUCUUUUCACUUAACUUACUCAGAUGUGUCCUUGGAGAUCUGUAUUGAGUAUCUCUUCUCUCUAGAAGCUUUCCCUUACAUCCCCUGUACUUGCAUCCCACCUUUGUACUUUACUUGCAUCUCACCCUGGGGUACUUCCUUUGCUCUUAUUUCCCUAGACCACAAUGAUCUGCUUACUCCUGUAUAGAUUCUAGAAGGUACUGUAUAAAGUAUUCUCAGGAGAUGCUUCUUCAAGAUGCAUUGUGAAAACAGUGUGGUGUGAUCAAAUAUUUGGGAAAUGCUGCAUAUUAUAUUCUUAGUCUUAGAGAGUCACAAUUUAUAUAUUAGAAUUUGCAAAAGGUCUUAAAAAAAGAAGUCUGUUAAUAUUGAUAUAACCAAUAGCAUACCAAAAGUAGUUGUUUAUGAAACCCCCAUUUAUGUGUGACAGAGUGUUAAUACAUGCUGGGAAGCUACACAAGAAAUGCCUCCUUGAUGUGACUAUGGUAGGAUCCUCAGCUCCUAGUCCAGUGCCUGGUACAUUGUGCUACUUAAUAUAUGCCUGUUGAAUGACUUAAUCUACCUUAUACACUAUCCCAGAUGCUUAGUUGUUUACAGAAACGUGUUAUAAGUUGGUUUUACAUACAAGGGAUCACAAUGGCAUAAACUCUGGAGAGCUGUGUAGGUCUGCUUCAGAUAAAUAGAUUUGGCUCCAAUGUUGAAUGUUAUUUUUGAGUCAUGGGGACAUUUACUAAGCAAAAAGCAUUCAGGGGAGGGUGGCCAGGUUAUUUAAGGGAUUUGGAAAACCUUUAUGCAUGGAGUGAUGAGAAGUAGUGGAUACAUUUAGUUUGGAGAAGAUAAUGCUAAUAAGAAAAUUUUAUCUUUAAAUAUUGAACAGUGACUAAGAUAUCAUUUUACCAGUCAAAAAUUUCACAGUAUAGUAAAAAAAAAAAAAAAAACAACAAACUGAUUACAACAUAAUGAAAUAAGUGUCCUGGCAAAACAUCUUCAGCAUCAGAGAAAAGAGUGAAUAGUUUGCUUGGAGGAUUGGGUGUGUGGGUAGUCAGGGAGACUUCUCUGAGGGGGCAGCAUCUGAGCAUAUUUUAAGGGUGAGCAUGUGUGGAGCGCUCCAUAUCACAACACAGUCUACCUCUGAAGAAAGAUCUAGGUGAAAGUUUAGAGUUUAUUUAUCUUUAAUGGAAAACUGUUAUGUUUGGAUGAGAGAGCUGUUUCUGUCAAUUGUUCUACAUUGAACACUUCCAAGUUGUGGCAUAAUGCAGCAUGCAGUGGCUGAAAAUAUAUGAAGCACUUUUUGAGUUGCUGACUUAAAAGUGAAUCAUUGAAUAAUAUUUUUCUUAUUUAGGUUUAAGCUUAUUGUUUUUGUUGUUGUUGUUGUUUUGUUUGUUUUGUUUUUUUUUUUUUUUUUGAGACAGAAUCUCACUCUGUUGCCCAGGCUGGAGGGCAGUGGUGUGAUCUUGGCUCACUGUAGCCUCUGCCUCUUGGGUUCAAGCGAUUCUCAUGCCUCAGCCUCCCAAGUAGCUGGGACUGCAUGUGUGCGCCACCAUGCCCAGCUAAUUUUUGUAUUUUUAGUAGAGAUGGGGUUUCAUUACACUGGCCAGGCUGGUCUCAAACUCCUGGCCUCAAGUGAUCCACCUGCCUCGGCCUCCCUAAGUGCUGGGAUUACAGGCGUGAGCCAUCUUUCCCAGCCUAAGAUGAUUCUAUUUAUGAUGACCUGUUCUUGGUAAUGCGCUUCUUUUUUUUUUAAAGGAGGUGAGAAAUUCUGUGGGCUUCAAAGGAGUGUUGAUUUUAGGUGGCUCAGCAUACGGCUGAAAUGCUUGUAGUUUACAUUGUAAAAUAUUGACUUUAUAAGUAGAUCAUUCUAUAAGAUACAUGAAUUCAAUACUUAUCUUUCUACUCAUUGUAGAUUUCCAGAGUUCUAUAUCAUCAGAAGGGCUGAAACAUAUUCAGAAAAUAGACAGUUUGGGCCAGGCACAGUGGCUCAUGCCUGUAAUCCCAGCACUUUGGGAGGCCGAGGUGAGCGGAUCAUGAGGUCAAGAGAUCGAGAUCAUCCUGGCCAACAUGGUGAAACCCUGUC
rnacentral:lncRNA from 1 species